AGAUGAUUCGAUUUACACCUAUAUCGACCAUCGAACUUGUUUAUAAAGUUUGAUACUAUUUAUUUAUUAAAUAUCAUGAAAAAUAUAUAGACAUGACCCCGCAAAUUUCAAACGGCCAGCACUAUGUGGAAAGUGCGCGUGUUUAUAUGAGAAGGGACUCCUCUAUUCUGAUUAAAUGCUGCCUGUGCAAUGCGGACACUUUUGCCGGUGGCAAGUGGGAGGAUUUCAAGAGACACCUGAUUCAAGGACACGGAGGAGCACGCCAGUCUGAUGAAGAUAUGGAUGAGAUCCAGGACGAGGUACAGAUAGAGCUGACCAACAUCUUAGAGGCGGGCAUUGGUCAAGAAUCCCAGUUGGGCGGAGAGCUGGAGGAGGAAUUGUUUACCAAUGUGGAGUUCCUACAUGAGGAGGAGGAAGCCGUAGAACUAGUCAGCUCAUCGGAUGAAGGGCAUGAUCAGGAUGAACCUAGGAGGAGUGGUCUCCACGACUACAUCCUCAAUAGACCAAAUAAGCCCUUCUAUAGUCUGCGGCACACUAGUCCCGGGAUCAUUCAGUAUUUCAUAGAGCUCCUGCGCCGGCAGGAGUAUCUGUGGAGCAUCCACCAUGGAAUCAACAGAAAGGAUCGCUUGGAAAGCUCCAAAAAAGUGGCACAGGCGCUGUCCCAUCGGUUUGGGUGCCACUUACAGCCACAGGUAGUUAACGCCAGUGCUCGAUUCCUGCAAGUCUGGUUCGAACGACAGUACGUGAUGCAACUGAGCAACUCAGACUUUCGGUGCCGCUACCCAAACUACUACCACAGCCUCCUGAGAUUCAUGCCCACUAGCCAUAUCUCGGUGACCAUUUGCGAGGAGUGCGACCGGCGUUGCCUCAACGAGCGCCAGCUGCGGCUGCACAAGUUCCGAGUGCAUGGCGGACCCAAUCCGAACACAUGCCAUGUGUGCAACCAGGACUUUCCGCUCGCCUCAAAGCUGCAGCAGCACAAGGCGCGCUACCACUUUAAGCCGCUGGAGUGGCAGUGCGGCAGAUGCGACUACAAUGCACCUUCCAAGUGGGACUUUCAGCAGCAUCAGGCCAUGCACGCCGGGCAGAGGAACUACACCUGCGAAGUGUGUGGGCACAGCUGCAAGACCAGCUCCGCCUUGGCAGUCCACCGGCGCACGCACGACCAGCCGAGAUUACAAUGUCCCCAAUGCGACCGGCAAUUCCGAGAGAACUACACCUUGAAGAGCCACAUCCGUAAAAUCCACGACGGCGACAAUGCGCGGAGGGUCUCCUGCAGCAUUUGCUCGAGAAGAUUCCAAACGAAGGAGAUGCUAGAGCUGCAUGAGUUGGUUCACUCCCAGAGGGAAGAAAAGGAAUCGGAGGAGACUGAAGAUCUGGAGGAACUGGAUACACCCUUUAACUAAGUACUUUUUGAAGAACGAAUACGAACAACACAAGUUAUUUGAAGACUGAAUCUUAGUUGCUAUUCGAAUGAUUUACAUCGAACGAAGAGAGUUCAACCAAGCUUUGCAUUAUUUGGCCUUAGCUACUAUACUAACUAGAACCACAUUUUCG